ACAGCAGCAGCCACGGUAAUACAGAGGGUGCAAGCGUUAAUCGGAAUUACUGGGCGUAAAGCGCGCGUAGGUGGUUUGUUAAGUUGGAUGUGAAAGCCCCGGGCUCAACCUGGGAACUGCAUCCAAAACUGGCAAGCUAGAGUACGGUAGAGGGUGGUGGAAUUUCCUGUGUAGCGGUGAAAUGCGUAGAUAUAGGAAGGAACACCAGUGGCGAAGGCGGCCCCCUGGACAAAGACUGACGCUCAGGUGCGAAAGCGUGGGGAGCAAACAGGAUUAGAGACCCGAGUAGUCCCUGUCUCUUAUAA
rnacentral:rRNA from 1 species